rnacentral:rRNA from 1 species
CGGAGCUAGCGGCGGACGGGUUAGUAACGCGUGGGAACGUGCCCUUCACUGCGGAAUAGCCACUGGAAACGGUGAGUAAUACCGCAUACGCCCUUCGGGGGAAAGAUUUAUCGGUGAAGGAUCGGCCCGCGUUAGAUUAGAUAGUUGGUGGGGUAACGGCCUACCAAGUCUACGAUCUAUAGCUGGUUUUAGAGGAUGAUCAGCAACACUGGGACCGAGACACGGCCCAGACUCCUACGGGAGGCAGCAGUGGGGAAUCUUGGACAAUGGGCGCAAGCCUGAUCCAGCCAUGCCGCGUGAGUGAUGAAGGCCUUAGGGUCGUAAAGCUCUUUCGCCAGAGAUGAUAAUGACAGUAUCUGGUAAAGAAACCCCGGCUAACUCCGUGCCAGCAGCCGCGGUAAUACGGAGGGGGUUAGCGUUGUUCGGAAUUACUGGGCGUAAAGCGCACGUAGGCGGAUCAGAAAGUUGGGGGUGAAAUCCCGGGGCUCAACCCCGGAACUGCCUCCAAAACUCCUGGUCUUGAGUUCGAGAGAGGUGAGUGGAAUUCCGAGUGUAGAGGUGAAAUUCGUAGAUAUUCGGAGGAACACCAGUGGCGAAGGCGGCUCACUGGCUCGAUACUGACGCUGAGGUGCGAAAGUGUGGGGAGCAAA